rnacentral:lncRNA from 1 species
GUCCCCAUGUAACCAUGUAACCCAGGUCCCCAUGUAACCCAUUUCCUCAUGUAACCCAGGACUCCAUGUAACCCAGGUCCCCAUGUAACCCAGGUCCCCAUGUAACCAUGUCACCCAGGUCCCCAUGUAACCCAGGUCUCCAUGUAACCCAGGACUCCAUGUAACCCAGGUCCCCAUGUAACCCCAGUCCCCAUGUAACCCAGGUCCCCAUGUAACCCAGGUCCCCAUGUAACCCAGGACUCCAUGUAACCCAGGUCCCCAUGUAACCCAGGUCCCCAUGUAACCCAGGUCUCCAUGUAACCCCAGUCCCCAUGUAACCCAGGUCCCCAUGUAACCCCAGUCCCCAUGUAACCCAGGACUCCAUGUAACCCAGGUCUCCAUGUAACCCAGGUCUCCAUGUAACCCAGGUCCCCAUGUAACCCAGGACUCCAUGUAACCCAGGUCUCCAUGUAACCAAAAUCCCCAUGUAACCCAGAUCCCCAUGUAACCAUGUAACCCAGUCCCCAUGUAACCCCAGUCCCCAUGUAACCCAGGUGCCCAUGUAAACCAGGUCCCCAUGUAUUUCCUCAUGUAACCCAGGUCCCCCAUGUAACCCAGGUCCCCAUGUAACACCAGUCCCCAUGUAACCCCAGUCCCCAUGUAAACCAGGUCCCCAUGUAUUUCCUCAUGUAACCCAGGUCCCCAUGUAACCCAGGACUCCAUGUAACCCCAGUCACCAUCUAUUUCCCCAUGUAACCCAGGUCCCCAUGUAACCCAGGUCUCCAUGUAACCCCAGUCACCAUAUAUUUCCCCAUGUAACCCAGGUCUCCAUGUAACCCCGGUCCUGAGGAGAAGGGAAUGGCAGGCUGAAUACCACUACCCAAAACACACACACACACAGAGAGAGAGAGAACACCAAGGUCAUCCCUAGCUCACAUUCUCUGCUCUGGUCAACGAUUGUAUUCAGGUUGUCGUGGAGACCCCAGCGCCACGGACACCAAACACUUUGUUUGCAGAGGUCAGAAGAACCCAAAUCACCCCUUUCACAGUUCCCUCUACUAUGGGUCUAACAGGGGAGUGGACAUUCACACAGUCCCCUCUACUAUGGGUCUAACAGGGUAGUGGACAUUCACACUGUCCCCUCUACUAUGGGUCUAACAGGGGAGAGGACAUUCACACAGUCCCUCUACUAUGGGGUCUAACAGGGGAGUGGACAUUCACACAGUCCCCUCUACUAUGGGGUCUAACAGGGGAGUGGACAUUCACACAGUCCCCUCUACUAUGGGUCUAACAGGGGAGUGGACAUUCACACAGUCCCCUCUACUAUGGGUCUAACAGGGUAGUGGACAUUCACACAGUCCCUCUACUAUGAGUCUAACAGGGGAGAGGACAUUCACACAGUCCCCUCUACUAUGGGUCUAACAGGGGAGAGGACAUUCAC